UACGUAGGGGGCUAGCGUUGUCCGGAUUUAUUGGGCGUAAAGAGCGUGUAGGCGGCUUGAUAGGUCUGCUGUGAAAACUCGAGGCUUAACCUCGAGCUGUCGGCGGAAACCAUCUGGCUAGAGUCCGGAAGAGGAGAAUGGAAUUCCCGGUGUAGCGGUGAAAUGCGCAGAUAUCGGGAAGAACACCCGUGGCGAAGGCGGUUCUCUGGGACGGUACUGACGCUGAGACGCGAAAGCGUGGGGAGCGAACAGG
rnacentral:rRNA from 1 species